AAGGAGAGUGUGGGCAGCUGGAGCCAGUUAGCACUGCCUCUAAGGUCUCCUGCAACUCACCCACCCACCCCUCUUACUCCAUGGUAUUCAACUUCUAAACUAAGAGGAAAGCCCGAGCUAGAGGUCCUAUGCAUCAAUCAGGGAAGAGAUAUUGAGAAGAAUAAACAGAGAAACUGUAUUUUUUCUCUCAACUAAAACAUCCAUUUUAAUCAAUAUUUGGCAAGAAAAUAUAUACCUGUUUCAUCUUCACUGGUUAUUUCCAUAAACUGGAAAGAAGGACUGUCUAAAUGAAUAGCUGAGAUCAACCUUGAUUGCCUUUUAAGUCGAGUAAAUUGGAGGACAGGCUGCCCAGUAUCUUAGUUCUUCUAAGACUGCUUGCAAACCAGAAAGUGUGAACAGUGUGAUGACGAAUGCUCUUAAGACCAGGAGUUCAAGCUUAACUCCCAACCCCUUGAGUGUGGGCUAGACUUAGUGACCUGCUUCUAAGGAAUAGAGUAUGGAAAGAGGAAAAUAGCAACAUUACAGGAGAGAAACCUGAAAGCAACUUAACCAAGUGAUCACAGAAUCACUGGUAAUAACUCUUGUUGAUAUCAUGUGCCCCCAAUACAGUAUGAUGAAAAGACCCAUCAUCUCGGUGAUAUUUAUCCUCAAAAUCUAUAAUCUUACAACAAUUAUGAGAAAAUAUAGACAAACCCAAUUUGAAAGGAAGCAAGUCUACAAGAUACUUAACCAGUACUUUACAAAAGUGACAAGGUCACAAAAGACAGCACAAGACUGAGAAACUCACAGAUUGGAGGAAGCCAAAGAGACAUCAUGGCUGAGAUCAUGGUGGUGGAACCCUGGUUUGGAUCCUGGAACAGAAAAAAAGAACACUAAGUGGAAAAACUGAUGAAAUAUAAAUAACAUAAUAAAAA
rnacentral:lncRNA from 1 species